UACGGAGGGUGCAAGCGUUAAUCGGAAUUACUGGGCGUAAAGCGCACGCAGGUGGCUGAGUCAGUCGAUUGUGAAAGCCCUGGGCUUAACCUAGGAAUUGCGCUUGAGACUGGAUAGCUUGGAGUGCGGCAGAGGGAGGUGGAAUUCCACGUGUAGCAGUGAAAUGCGUAGAGAUGUGGAGGAACACCGAUGGCGAAGGCAGCCAUCUGGACCGACACUGACGCUGAGGCGCGAAAGCGUGGGGAGCAAACAGG
rnacentral:rRNA from 1 species